CAGAUCAGCUGCGAUAUAUGGAGCCCUAAGAGGUCUGGAGAGCGCCUUCUUGAAGCCACAGUUGCUCUGACAGCUUGGCCCAAAGUGCAGUACAAUCCCCAGGAGAAUUUUGCUUUUGAGUUAUCAGGUUGGAAAUGAACAAUAUGACAGGAACAAAGACUCGGCCAAUGACAGCAUUACGGAUGAAUGAAAGCCACCAAUGUGAGGAAGGAUUGUGGGGGGGGGAGUUCCAGAACUUUCUGAGCCACACAGAGUAAAACCCCAUUUUAAAAGAUUGCUAUGUUACAGUCAGUGCCUGAUGCUAAUUUAUUUAACCUGCAGUAUAAGCCAAGAUAAUGCACUUAACUUUACUACUAACAAAUAAAGCUCUUUUUGGAACAAAGGGAUUCCUCAAGUCUUUCCACACCAUAUCAUUCACU